CGGCGAACGGUCGCGUAACACGUAAGCAACCUGCCCGAAAGACCGGGACAACGUUUCGAAAGGAACGCUAAUACCGGAUGUGACCGUUUGAUUACCUGAUCGAACGAUUAAAGCGCGAAAGUGGCUUUCGGAGGGGCUUGCGGCCUAUCAGCUAGAUGGCGGGGUAACGGCCCACCAUGGCGACGACGGGUAGCUGGUCUGAGAGGAUGGUCAGCCGGACUGGGACUGAGAUACGGCCCAG
rnacentral:rRNA from 1 species